CCUCCGUUGGUGAACCAGCGGAGGGAUCAUUACAGGACUCGCAAGACUCCUACAACCCUGUGAACUUAACUAUAAGCACGUUGCUUCGGCGGGUGUCUCGGAGGGGGUUCUCCCUCCCCGAGACGCUAAACCCGCCGGCAGCCUACUAUACUCUGUCUCUUUGCGUUGGCAUCUCGAGUACAAUCAAACAAGUUAAAGCUUUCAACAACGGAUCUCUUGGUUCUG
rnacentral:misc_RNA from 1 species